rnacentral:lncRNA from 1 species
CAUAUAUCCAAAUAUAAAAAUUAUUUCACAGUUUGUAUCAGUCCAAGCAUAAUAUCAGCAUGGCAGCCCGUGGAGUCCAGCUUGACAGUUUUGUGCUGCUUGCUAAUGGCACAGCCAGGACGGCAAUGCCGAAAUGAGACCGAGUGUGUUGCGAUGUGCUACGUAAAUUAUCAUGGGCUCUAGCAGAAUUGAAUUCACCUUUCCUGUCAAGAUAUAAAGUGUCACCAUUGCCCCCAGCAGCAAUUUUUUGGCACACCAGCCAAUCCCAC